AUGAACGCUAGCGGCAGGCUUAACACAUGCAAGUCGAGGGGUAUAGUAGCAAUACUAGAGACCGGCGCACGGGUGCGUAACGCGUAUGCAAUCUACCUUUUACAGAGGGAUAGCCCAGAGAAAUUUGGAUUAAUACCUCAUAGCAUUUGCGAAAUGGCAUCAUUUUUGCAAUUAAAGUCACAACGUAAGAGAUGAGCAUGCGUCCCAUUAGCUAGUUGGUAAGGUAACGGCUCACCAAGCCGACGACGGGUAUCUGGCGUGAGAGCGCGAACAGCACAAGGACACUGAGAGACGGGUCCUACUCCUACGGGAGGCAGCAGUGGGGAAUAUUGGACAAUGGGCGAAAGCCUGAUCCAGCGACGCCGCGUGUCGGAAGGAGUCCUUCGGGAUGUAAACGACUUUUGGUGGAGACGAAUAAGCAGCUCAGGGAAUGGGGCUGUGAUGACGGUAUCCAUGGAAUAAGCCCCGGCUAACUACGUG
rnacentral:rRNA from 1 species